rnacentral:lncRNA from 1 species
GAUAAAGUAGGAGAGAGAAUGUAAUAAGAAAAUAUUUAAUUAGUGAUAAAGUAAGAAAGAGAAAAUAAAAAAGUGAUAAAGUAGGAGAGAGAAUGUAAUAAGAAAAUAUUUAAUUAGUGUUAGUUUUUGCCAAAUAAAGAAUGUAGCAUCUUGGUUGGGACGGCCCAAAAAGGAAAAUGUUGCAUCUUGGGUGGGACGGAGGGAGUAAGAAAAAGUGGCGGGGUCAUGUGUUAAAAAGAAAAGUGAUAGUAUUAUUUUAUUAAACACCCAAAAUAACAGAAAUGUCAUACUUUUCAUAGACGAAGAGAGUAUCUUUUUAAAAUACUGAUAGUUGUUUCAUACGAGAAGUAUACAAUGUAUUUUGACAUAAAUAGAUGCUUGUAUAAUUGAAACGUAUAUACUCCCUCCGUUCCAUUACAAAUAUUUCAUUGCUUUUGGGCACAAAGAUUAAAAAAAUGUGUAAAAAAUAGAUAAAGUGAAUUGGUGGAAAUUAUUAAAAUAUUAGGUAUAAAUAUAAUAUAUUAUCAAAAAAGAAAUGAGAUAUUUGUAAUGGGACAUCUCAUUAUAAAAAGUGGGAUAUUUGUAAUGAGAGGGGGGUAUAAAUUUAGAAAAAUCAGUCAUAAAAGAGAAGCUAAGUUCAUGAAUGAUUGAUUCUUUAUUUUUUAAUUUUUUGUAGAAAAUAAAAUGUCAUAUAUAUUUUUCAAUUGUGUUUCACUAUAAGAGCUCAACUUGAUAGAUAUUAACAAUCUAGCUCUCUUCUUUUAAAAUAUAAGAUAUACAUUAUAUCGCAAACUUAAAUAUAUAUUACCCGCUAUGUCCCAUGAGAGUGUGCAUGAUUAUUGAUAAUAUGAGUUUUAAUAAAUAUUAGAUUAAUGUGUUAUUAGUAGCAGAAAUGAUCCACCUUUAUUAGUAGAAGAAAGUAUCAAAAAAAGAAAAUGCACAUUUUUGUGAGGCGUACAAAAAAUGACAAAAAGUGCACACUCUUAUGGGACGGUAGGAAUAUAAAAAAUUAAUCAAAUUAUUAUAAACUAAACUAUUGAGAAUUACAAGAGGCAUAUUUAAUAUAUAACCAAAUAAGCAACUCGCAUGCAGACGGAACCUCUAUACCACACAAAGGUGGAAAAACAACCGUACGCAGGCGGAAUACUAUCCACACAAAAAUGAGAAAACUACCCGCACACAAACGUGAUUUGAACUCAAGACUUCUCACAAAGGAGAGUCUCUGAGUGCCUCAGCUUUGUCACUUAAACUAGGCGUCAUCGACAUUACAAACUAGACUAUAUCCAAAUUAAUAAUUAAAUAGUAUAGAUUAAAUCAAAUAUCCAAAUAAAAUGAAAAUACAAUUCAAUAACUCAUAUGUUGGUAGAAUUUAAAUUAAUAACUUUUUGCUAGUGAGAGACUUUUGUAUCUUAUUUUUGCCACUUGAAUUACACCUCGUCGGCGUUUAGCUAGCUCUUAUUGACUGAAUUUAACAUAAUAGAUUUUUUGUUUUAGGGAAAUAGAUUUUUUCUUUAAACUGCAUAGUACUCCCUCCGUCCCGCGAGUCUUGACACGUUUGGGUUCAGCACGGAAAUUAAGGAGUUGUAGAUUAGUGUUUUAAAUGUGUAAUUAAUAAAGUAUAAAAUUGAUAAAGUAUGAGAGAGAAGGUAAUAAAAGUGAUAAAGUAGGAGAGAGAAUAUAAUAAAGGUGAUAAAGUAGGAGAGAGAAUGUAAUAAUUAUUACCCAAAAAGAAAACGUGUCAAGACUCGUGGGACGGCCCAAAAAGGAAAACGUGUCAAGAUUCGUGGGACGGAGGGAGUA